rnacentral:rRNA from 1 species
AGAGUUUGAUUAUGGCUCAGGAUGAACGCUGGCGGCGUGCCUAACACAUGCAAGUCGAACGGGUGUACGGGGAGGAAGGCUUCGGCCGGAAAACCUGUGCAUGAGUGGCGGACGGGUGAGUAACGCGUGGGCAACCUGGCCUGUACAGGGGGAUAACACUUAGAAAUAGGUGCUAAUACCGCAUAACGGGGGAAGCCGCAUGGCUUUUCCCUGAAAACUCCGGUGGUACAGGAUGGGCCCGCGUCUGAUUAGCCAGUUGGCAGGGUAACGGCCUACCAAAGCGACGAUCAGUAGCCGGCCUGAGAGGGCGGACGGCCACACUGGGACUGAGACACGGCCCAGACUCCUACGGGAGGCAGCAGUGGGGGAUAUUGCACAAUGGGGGGAACCCUGAUGCAGCGACGCCGCGUGGGUGAAGAAGCGCCUCGGCGCGUAAAGCCCUGUCAGCAGGGAAGAAAAUGACGGUACCUGAAGAAGAAGCCCCGGCUAACUACGUGCCAGCAGCCGCGGUAAUACGUAGGGGGCAAGCGUUAUCCGGAUUUACUGGGUGUAAAGGGGGCGCAGACAGCGAUGCAAGCCAGGAGUGAAAGCCCGGGGCCCAACCCCGGGACUGCUCUUGGAACUGCGUGGCUGGAAUG